rnacentral:misc_RNA from 1 species
GGAAAUUACUUUCUCCAAUUUUCUUUUCUCCUUUGUUUCUUUUCCACUGAACAAAUGGAAGUAUGGUUCUUUUUUUCCCCUACUGCAUGUAUUCCUCCCAUAUCUUUUUAUAGUUUCUAUUCUAUCUUAGACUGUCUAUACGUCUUAAGUUCUGCAACUCUUCUGACUCACUGUCAUAGUGACUUAGCAUUUGUUUUCAAUGGCAGGAUGAUGAUAGAUAUUUUUCCUUGAAUGUUAUGAUUGCUGAAAUAUUUUUGCACUUAGAUGAAUGGAUCCGCCCUCCUGCUGAGUUACUAGAGAAAUUUCUUGCAUUCAUGGAGCAUGCACUGCUUGAAAAGAUCCACGAUGAAACAAGGUCUGGCAGAGAAAAGCAGAUGCUUACACUGGUUCAUUUUAUGCCAAAACUUGUAGCACAAGUGAUAGGCGACUGGAAGUCUCGCCUUCUACAGGCAUUUACAAAGACAUUCCUUGAUUGCAAACCAGAGUCUUCAGUAAAAUUGGCUUGCCUUGCCGCAAUUGAAGAAAUGCUUUUUUCUAGAAAAGGAAUGUGGCAACCAGAUGGAUAUGAUCCAGAAGUAGUGGGCCCUCUUAUUACUUGGAUAAGAGAGCUACCUGUGUUGUUAAUCCUGCUUGGUGAUAGGCAUCCAUCCUCUUCUGAGGCUGUGUUGCAUCUUCUGCUUGACUUGGGUCGAUUUGCUUCACCGGGUUCUUUCCUUGCAAAGGAAUACGAUGAGGUGCAAAAGUCGCUACAAGAAUUUUACUGCACGUAUCAAGAAGGGGAUAAAUGUUAUGGUCCUUUCACAAGGCUUCCAUUGGAGCGUCAAAAACUCUCCAUCUAUAGUCUUGCUUACUUUUCUCACCUAGAUUCACCUUUGCUGACAUCAGUAACUUUAUGUUGCCUCCGUCCUGACUUGGAUGAAUAUGUCUUGUUUCUGAUCAUAGAACAUUUGCAUUCAAUAUUUAGACGCGGCAAAAUUGAGAUACAGGACCACCUUAGCUUCUUUGUCACGCUGGUCAUCCGUUUCAAUGUUUUUCCAGAAAAUAUUCGCUCUGCAAUUGAGGAAGGUACAAAGUUCUCAAAUCGUGGAACUUUCAAGAAAUUGAUUGGUGUUGUUUUCUCAUGCCUAGAACAGACGGGUGAUGCUUCCCUAGUUUUAUUUCUAUUGGAGAGAGAAAUCCUAAAGCAGAUUUUAUUAAAGCCCCCUCUAGACAAUGCCUGUGCUAUGCUAAGGAUACUUGUUAGGCUAGACUCCAAACCCACAAGACUUUCUGAACAAAGUAUUAUCAAUUUGAGCAAUUUCAUUCCAGGCUACUUGAUUGACGUUGUGCAUUGUAUGGGAGGGUUUGAUGCAGAACCCAAGGAAGCUCAUUUUCGAACGCUGAUGGACUAUAUUGUUCCUUGCUUUUACAUGUUUGAAAGUAGUAGAAAACUCUUGAAUCUCGUGUUGAAUGGAAUGGGUUCAAUGAUAACUGAAAGUAGAAUAAAUGAUAUUGUUAGUGUCCUAAUGUUGAUGCAUAAGGAUGAUAAGAUGAAUCGAAUUAUUUCUUCAUCGAGGGCUGAGUUUGAUCAUGUUUCACAGAGCAUACGCGCAUUAAAGUUGGAGGAUAGCAGUCUAACUGUUGGGGAAAGGCGUAGAAUACAAUAUGCGUUAGAGCAACUAAAGACUGUUAGAAGCUCAUUAGAUCAAGAGAUGCAAAGAGCAAAGCAGGAUAUGUUACCUUAGUUUAUUGCACUACAAGUUUGCAAUGGCCUAAAAUUUUGAAGUUUACAAUUUUGGGAAUAUAGUAAAAGAUGAAUUAAAGGGGAUAACGUUUUCCAUUCAUUUUCUUGCUGUACAUAUAGAGGAACCAUAAUGGAUAUAAUAUUUCAUGUCAAAACUUGAGCACAUAACAUGUCAUUUUUUGCCAAUCUUUUUUUGUUCAUCUUAAGAGAAAUUUGAAUAAGUCGACA